rnacentral:ncRNA from 1 species
UUCAAUGAGAGUUUGAUCAUAGCUCAGGAUGAACGUUGGCUGUGUGCCUAAGGUAUGCAAGUCGAACGGUCCUACUGUGAAUUUCUGAGACUUCGGUCGAUGAUUUUCUAUUUAGGAUAGUGGCAAACGGGUGAGUAAUACGUAGAUAACUUGCCUUGAAGUCGGGAAUAGCUCGUCGAAAGACGGGGUAAUAUUCGAUAGUCUCUAUUCACGUUAAGUGUUUUAGAGUAAAGCUUUUGCGCUUCAAGAGAGGUCUG